CGAACGCUGGCGGCGUGCUUAACACAUGCAAGUCGAACGAUGAAGUUCCUUCGGGAAUGGAUUAGUGGCGAACGGGUGAGGAUCACGUGAGAAACCUGCCUUUCAUUUUGGGAUAACUCCGGGAAACCGGGGCUAAAACCGAAUACUCCGUCUCGGUGGCAUCGCUGAGCCGGGAAAAAAUUUUGAUGAAAGAUGGUCUCGCGGCCUAUCAGCUAGUUGGUGAGGUAAUGGCUCACCAAGGCGACGACGGGUAGCCGGCCUGAGAGGGCGACCGGCCACACUGGGACUGAGACACGGCCCAGACUCCUACGGGAGGCAGCAGUGGGGAAUAUUGGGCAAUGGGCGCAAGCCUGACCCAGCGACGCCGCGUGAGGGAUGAAGGCCUUCGGGUUGUAAACCUCUUUCAGUAGGGAAGAAGCGAAAGUGACGGUACCUAAAGAAGAAGCACCGGCUAACUAUGUGCCAGCAGCCGCGGUAAUCUGAUGGCGCGAGG
rnacentral:rRNA from 1 species